GCGCGAAAACUUUUCAAAUGCGGGAAACCGUGACAAGGGAACUCUGAGUGCCCGUUAAAUCGGGCUGUCCAUCGGUUUAAAUAACCGGUGAAGAAAGGGCCGGGCAAGACCGGUGCCAGCCGCCGCGGUAAUACCGGCGGCUCGAGUGGUGGCCACUAUUACUGGGCUUAAAGCGUUCGUAGCUGGUUUGUUAAGUCUCUGGGGAAAUCUUCCGGCUCAACCGGAAGGCGUCUCAGGGAUACUGGCAGACUAGGGACCGGGAGAGGUGAGAGGUACUCCAGGGGUAGGA
rnacentral:rRNA from 1 species